rnacentral:rRNA from 1 species
AUUGAACGCUGGCGGCAGGCCUAACACAUGAACGUCGAGCGAGCGUCGGCCGGGUGAGUAAUGUCUGGGAAACUGCCUGCUGGAGGUGGAUAACUACUGGAAACGGUAGCUAAUACCGCAUACCCUCAGAUGUGCCCAGAUGGGAUUGGCUAGUAGGUGGGGUAACGGCUCACCUAGGCGACGAUCCCUAGCUGGGCUGAGAGGAUGACCAGCCACACUGGAACUGAGACACGGUCCAGACUCCUACGGGAGGCAGCAGUGGGGAAUAUUGCACAAUGGGCGCAAGCCUGAUGCAGCCAUGCCGAGUGGGUGAAGAAGGCCUUCGGGUUGUAAAGCACUUUCAGCGGGGAGGCGUUACCCGCAGAAGAAGCACCGGCUAACUCCGUGCCAGCAGCCGCGGUAAUAC